GCAGCGAGAUUGGGUACUUUUGAGGUUAUCGUCAGUUGAUGCAUAUGUCUAUAGUAGCAGUCGUUGCAUGCAUAUUUACAGUUCUUACUUUAUAGUUGUCAUGCUACUAUAGUAGAUAUUCAUGUAUGCUUUCGAUUUCAGUUACAGUAGCGGUAGCCGUUAUUCAGUCUAGUUCCUACUUUCUUUCAAUUUGUUGCUACUGUAUUCGGUAUAUCUGCUCAUUACCUUACAUAUCUCUUUCGUUUAUUGUUGUUGCUACUAUAUUUCCACUGACCCGUAUUGUUGUAUAGCUCUUCCUGAUCCGGUGAGUACUCCUCGCCUUCUUCGGUUUGCGGUACCCACUGGGAGGGGAGACAUAUUUACAUGUUCUCACCUCCCCCACUAUUUUUCAGGUAUCGCGGGCGGUGAGGGUUGAGUCGAGACGUGAGAUACGUGGCGGUCGAUAGAGCUUCCGACUCAGGUUAUUUCGGUUUAGUUAUUACCCCUAUUAUUGCUGUUGUUGCAGAGUUUAGUUGGUUUAUGUAGUUCAGUAUUUCAUUACGUUAAAAUAAAAGGAUUUCUGAAUUUUGUAAAAUAAAAGGUUUUCUACCCCUCGUGGUAGCGUUUUAAAAAGAUAAAAGUUCCUGUGUAGGGAACAGUUUUCAAUAGGUUUUCUGUGGAUUUUGCAUCUUAGUAUUUCAAAACCUGUUUCUGUUGUUGGAAAUAUUUUAACUGAUAGAUGUGGAUUGAUGUUUAAAAUAUCGAAUGUAUAAAUGUGGAUCUGUGGUGAAUGGUGUAUGAAUAUAUAUCUGUUGGUCAUUUGUAUGUUCAUCUAUUGUGGUUGUACAAUGUUCGAACUCUUGUACUUGUGCGACGCCGUGCAAAUACAGGGGAGACUCUAUCCGUGUGAACAGUGGAUUCCCUGUAUUUGUGGCGGAUCU
rnacentral:lncRNA from 1 species